UCCUGUAUUAAAACUUCUAAAUUACAUAAAAAUAAAACAUUAAAAUAACUACUUCUUUUUCAUAUCUUUAACAAAAGUACUAAAAAGGAAACAAUAAUAAUCUAAAGUAGUGAAUAAUCCACGUACCUUGUGCAUUAUGGUUUUACAAGCCCUAAAUUUAAAAUACCUUCCCGAAUCCUACGCGAGCUGCUCCUAUAUAGCUAAGAGCUCACUACUAGUUGUGGCACAAACUUUAGAAAAUAUACUAGCAGAGGCUACAUACCACCCGCGCUAGAAUAUUGCUGGUUCUCAGUAAAAUUUAUUAAUUAAAACAUGUAGUAAAUCUACAGUGUAAGAUCCUAGAGGACAAGCCCUAUAAUCCUAAGCUAAACUAAAUAAUAGUUAUUAAAUUAGGCCUAAAAACAGCCAUACACAGUACUUUACCGUCCUGCUAUCAAAAUAAAUAAUUCACAUGCUUUA
rnacentral:rRNA from 1 species